ensembl:lncRNA
AGUAGUUAGCAGCAGUUGGGACAGUAGUUAGCGGCAGUUGGGGCAGUAGUUAGCGGCAGUUGGGACAGUAGUUAGCGGCAGUUGGGACAGUAGUUAGCGGCAGUUGGCACAGUCGUUAGCGGCAGUUGGGACUGUAGUUAGGGGCAGUUGGGAGAGUAGUUAGGGGCAGUUGGGACAGUAGUUGGGGCAGUUGGGACAGUAGUUAGCAGCAGUUGGGACAGUAGUUAGACACAGUUGGGACAGUAGUUAGACACAGUUGGGACAGUCAUUAGCGACAGUUGGGACAGUAGUUAGCGACAGUUGGGACAGUAGUUAGCGGCAGUUGGGACAGUAUUUGGGGCAGUUGGGACAGUAGUUGGAGGCAGUUGGGGCAGUUAGGGGCAGUUGGGACAGUAGUUAGCGACAGUUGGGACAGUAGUUAGACAUAGUUGGGACAGUCAUUAGCGACAGUUGGGACAGUAGUUAGCGACAGUUGGGACAGUAGUUAGCGGCAGUUGGGACAGUAUUUGGGGCAGUUGGGACAGUAGUUGGAGGCAGUUGGGGCAGUUAGGGGCAGUUGGGACAGUAGUUAGCGGAAGUUGGGACAGUCGUUAGCGACAGUUGGGACAGUAGUUAGCGGCAGUUGGGACAGUAGUUAGCGACAGUUGGGACAGUAGUUAGCGGCAGUUGGGACAGUAGUUAGGGGCAGUUGGGACAGUAGUUAGCGACAGUUGGGACAGUAGUUAGACAUAGUUGGGACAGUAGUUAGCGGCAGUUGGGACAGUAGUUAGGGGCAGUUGGGACAGUAGUUAGGGGCAGUUGGGACAGUAGUUGGGGCAGUUGGGACAGUAGUUAGCGGCAGUUGUGACAGUAUUAGGGGCAGUUGGGACAGUACUUAGCGGCAGUUGGGGCAGUUGGGACAGUAGUUAGCGGCAGUUGGGACAGUAGUUAGCGACAGUUGGGACAGUAGUUAGCGGAAGUUGGGACAGUAGUUAGGGGCAGUUGGGACAGUAGUUAGCAGCAGUUGGGACAGUAGUUAGGGGCAGUUGGGACAGUAGUUUGCAGCAGUUGGGACAGUAGUUAGCGACAGUUGGGACAGUAGUUAGCGGAAGUUGGGACAGUAGUUAGCGGCACUUGGGACAGUAGUUAGCAACAGUUGGGACAGUAGUUGGGGCAGUAGGGACAGUAGUUAGCGACAGUAGGGAUUGUAGUUAGCGACAGUUGGGACAGUAGUUUGCGCCAGUUGGGAAAGUAGUUAGGGGCAGUUGGGACAGUAGUUAGCAACAGUUGGGAAAGUAGUUAGGGGUAGUUGGGACAGUAGUUAGCUGCAGUUGGGACA